rnacentral:rRNA from 1 species
CCUACGGGGGGCAGCAGUGAGGAAUAUUGGUCAAUGGACGAGAGUCUGAACCAGCCAAGUAGCGUGAAGGAUGACUGCCCUAUGGGUUGUAAACUUCUUUUAUAUGGGAAUAAAAUGUUCCACGUGUGGGAUUUUGUAUGUACCAUAUGAAUAAGGAUCGGCUAACUCCGUGCCAGCAGCCGCGGUAAUACGGAGGAUCCGAGCGUUAUCCGGAUUUAUUGGGUUUAAAGGGAGCGUAGGUGGAUUGUUAAGUCAGUUGUGAAAGUUUGCGGCUCAACCGUAAAAUUGCAGUUGAAACUGGCAGUCUUGAGUACAGUAGAGGUGGGCUGAAUUCGUGGUGUAGCGGUGAAAUGCUUAGAUAUCACGAAGAACUCCGAUUGCGAAGGCAGUUCACUGGACUGCAACUGACACUGAGGCUCGAAAGUGUGGGUAUCAAACAGGAUUAGAUACCCCUGUAGUC